rnacentral:rRNA from 1 species
GGGUUGUGAGGUUAAGCGACUAAGCGUACACGGUGGAUGCCCUGGCAGUCAGAGGCGAUGAAGGGCGUGCUAAUCUGCGAUAAGCGCCGGUAAGGUGAUAUGAACCGUUAUAACCGGCGAUACCCGAAUGGGGAAACCCAGUGUGACUCGUCACACUAUCAUUAACUGAAUCCAUAGGUUAAUGAGGCGAACCGGGGGAACUGAAACAUCUAAGUACCCCGAGGAAAAGAAAUCAACCGAGAUUCCCCCAGUAGCGGCGAGCGAACGGGGAGGAGCCCAGAGCCUGAAUCAGCAUGUGUGUUAGUGGAAGCGUCUGGAAAGGCGCGCGAUACAGGGUGAUAGCCCCGUACACAAAAGCGCAUGUGUUGUGAGCUCGAUGAGUAGGGCGGGACACGUGGUAUCCUGUCUGAAUAUGGGGGGACCAUCCUCCAAGGCUAAAUACUCCUGACUGACCGAUAGUGAACCAGUACCGUG